CUGGAGUGGUGUUGUUUCUGUGCGGUAAAGCGAAUGAUUAGCGCAUUUGGGGACCAAGGUCCUCUGGCGAUUCUCAAACUUUAAAUGCGCGAGAACCGUCUGGUUGCUUUACGGAACCAGGCGGGCAGAAAACGCCAGCCUUGUGGGCCACUUUUGGUAAGCAGAACUGGCGAUAAGGGAUGAACCUUAAGCACGGUUAAGGCGCCGAACUACGCGCUUAUAGACCCCACAAAAGGUGUUGAUUCAUUUAGACAGCAGGACGGUGGCCAUGGAAGUCGGAAUCCGCUAAGGAGUGUGUAACAACUCACCUGCCGAAUGCAUUAGCCCUGAAAAUGGAUGGCGCUCAAGCGCGUGGCCGACACCGUGCCGUUGGAUUUACUGAUGAAUCCGAUGAGUAGGAGGGCGUGGGGGUGCUUGGGAAGUGCGCGCGCAAGCGUGGAUGGAAGCGCCUCUAGUGCAGAUCUUGGUGGUAGUAGCAAAUAUUCAAGCGAGAUCCUUGAAGGGCGAAGUGGGGAAGGGUUCCACGCGAACAUUGAUUGGACGUGGGUGAGUCGUUCCUAAGCGAAGCGGCAAUCGCGCUUGCAUUCGCGAAAGGGAAGCCAGUUAAAAUUCUGGCGCACGGGCACGGACAUAGUGGUGACACGCAUUUUUGCAUGAUGGGUGGGGGCGAGCACGCUGGCGAGCGCCUCGGGCAAGAGUUGUCUUUUCUGUUUAAAUUUCUUGUGGUUGGUGUGGAAGAACGUUAUGUUGAGAAACACAACCCGGGAUGAAGAGCGCUGCGAUUUGUGCAGCGUCCGGAGCGCGCUCGACGGCCCUUGAAACCUUGUUCUCCCAAUAGUCUCUUUGGAGGCUGAGAGUCCGUGGCGUGACGUACCGAUAACCGCAUCAGGUCCCCAGGUCUCAGACACUCUGCUCAGUAUGAAUAAUGCAGGUAAGGGAAUUCGGCAAAAUAGACCCGUAACUUUGGGAAAAGGGUUGGCUCUAGUGGUGCGUGUGGGAAAUGGUUG
rnacentral:rRNA from 1 species